CCUCUCUUUUCUUUAGACUCUCACUCUGCUUCUCUCAAGUCUCAAACUCUCGCCUCUCAGACUCAGGAACUCAGUCAUUCAUUACUCAUCAGCUUGAUAGCUUAUGGCUACCUUCAUUUCUCUUCCGAACCCUAAUCCUGCCGAACAAACAUUAUUUUUUCCCUCUCAAUCUCAGCACUCACCUAACCAUUUUUCUCUUCUUAUUUUGCUCUCAAUCAGCCACAUAAUCAUAAUGUUUCUUCCAAACCCUAAUCCCGCCGAACAAUUAAUAGUAUUUCCCUCUCAAUCUCAGAUUUUCAGGCUUCCACCAACCAUUUUUCUCUUCUCUUUUGCACUCAGCCACAUAAUUUUUUUUCCAUACCCUAAUCCCGCCGAACAAACAGUAGUUGUUCCCUCUCAAAUACUCAAUCUUAGGCUCCGACCUAACCUUUCCCUAUUUAAGAACACAAGCUCUCAGUCUCACUCUCAAGACUCAUCUCUAAUUCUCAGUCUCACUCUCUCACAAAGAAAGACCUUCCUCUCAAGGUCUCACGAAAUUUCUAAUACCUAAGAGGCUAAGACAGUCAAUCUCCUUUUCAUCUCUGUUCUCCACCGUGGCUCUGCCACUAUGUAGUUCUGUUUGGGGUAAUUUAAAAGAUUCAGCUUCAGCUAUGACAACACAAGCAUUGAAUGAACACACUAUUAGUCUUAUUCAUUUUUUGUGAAAAAUAUGUAGUUGUGUAUUGUACCAGUUGUAUAUUUUGGUCCAACAUCUAUUAUGUAUAUUUGUAUAGUGCUUCUCAAGCACUACCUGACUAUUUUGUAGUGCUGCACUACUACUCUUUGGGGUUGUGCUACUACUUAUAUUUGAUGUGAUUACUAUGAUAGAAAUAGUAAUGUUAAUGUUGUUGCUA